ACUUCGGCUUUCCUGAACGGCGCCUCGCACUGGCGGGAAAUAUGACAUCCUGAGCCCUCUGUUUCUCCCCUCACUGACAGACAAGCUGACCAACGGGGCCGAGAGGAGGCUCGCGGAGUCUGAUCAUUGGACAGCCGGGCAAGACGAGGACGCGCUGCAUUCUGGGAGUCGUAGUCUUCCCCCUUUUACCGGAUGUUUUGUAGGGUUUUGUUUUGUUUUCAAAUUGCGGUGCCCUGACUUGUCGCUGAGUGAGAGGUUGUACUAAAAGUAGCCUAAAUGUCAGAGACUGGGAGUUUAUACGCAGGGAGAUAUAAAAACAUAAAAGCAAAUCGUUUCUUAAAUGUAUACAAAUCAGGUGUGCUGAGUAUGUUUCUCAAGCAACUGCCCUCAAGUGGCGUUCCGAGAAAAAAAAAAGUGGAUUUUGACAAUCUGUGGGAUGGAAACAGAAUAAUAGCAUCUUUGGGAAAGGUUCUUUAGUUCAGCGACCCAUUUGUUCUCUCAAUACCAGUGCCUGAAGUACCCCGUAAAAAUAGGCGGCGGAAGAGGGCGAAAUUAAAGAAACAUUUUCUGUAUUGUAUCCCGCCCCAUAGAGAUGGCCUCAUGUGUUAUUCUACAAAAUUCUGCACAUAAUUACUACACCAUCUUACUUGCAAAUGGAUGAGAAGACUACAGCUUUAAAGAUCCCAAAAUCCCAUACCAAUAAGGGACAGAGGCAGGAUAUGAACCCAGUUCGCUUCCCUGAUGCCACAGUCACGGGGACGAGGGACCAGUUCAGGAAUGACAGAGCGGACCCUGGAGGCGGCCCAAAACGCCUCCUUUCGCCGCCGCCGCCUCCUCCUCCCCCUCCAUGACAGUCUCGGGGUGUGUUUACAGACGCCCUGGAGAGCGGCCCGGACGGGAGGGUGGGCCAUUACAGUUUUUCUUAUUCAUUUUACUGUUUAAAGUAUAAAGAGACUUUUUCUCUGGACAUGAUGAAUACCUUCUGCUAGUUUACAGAUGGGCUAGUGUCUGUAUGUGUCCUGUAAUGUUUGUUUAUUCAUUCAUUUAAUCAAUUAUGUGUGAGUUAUGUAUGGUACAGUAAAUUAGAUAUUAUUUGUCAUCAGUUUUUAUUCUAUCUUAUCCUUCAAGUAAACUGUAUAUCAUAAUUUUGAAGUUUCAGAAUCAUUUAAGUGCCUGUUUUUAUUCAGCCAACAGAGCUUUGAGAUGUGAGUAUUUAUUCAUACUACAAAUAAUACUACCAGUAUUUUAUUAUAUUAUAUGCAAGGUAUUUAGGAGAAUACCAAGAUGGAUAAGAUGAAAAGUUUACAAUCUGGUAUGGAACUUAAGGCACAAACAUAAAUUGCCAUGAGAAAAGGCAACAUGUGUUCUGGCAUGGUACAAAGUGCCAUAGGAGUUUAAAAAUGGCAGAUAUAAAUUUGCAUAGGAGUGAUGAUAGAAAGCUAGAGAAAGGGGAUAGUAUUUGAUUUGAGGAUCAACAGGUGGGCAGUAUUUCCUGCAGGAAGAUGUGACAGUAAUGACAUUCUAAGCAAAAUAUGAAGGCAGGUGAAUACACGGUAGGACUAGAAGCAGGGAUGCAUUAGGCCUGACUGUAGAGGACACUGACCAGCAGAGUAAGGCUGUGCUUGAUUUAGUAGGCAGAAGGGAGCCAUUGAUAGCGUUUGAGCAAAGGAGAGACAGUAUGAAGUGCUUUAGGAAGAUUAAUCUGGCUAGAGAAUAUGUAGAAUGGAUUGUUUUCAUCAGAUAAAAGAAAUGAGGCCUGGAAAGGGUGUUCAAAGAAGGAAGAAAAGAAAAAGAUGAGAGUGAAACAUUUCAGAGGAAAAAUAGACAGAUCUAAAAGCUAUUUAGAUGAAAAUAGGAAUGAAGGAGAGAGACAUAAAAAUUACGAAUAAACACAUAUGCCUCACACACAAUGCCUCAAGGGCUUACAAAAAGCAUCUCAUUCCUAAUGAUCUUCAUUUAGAUCUCUGUUUAGAAUGAAAAAUUGUUUUGCAGUUACGACACAGAGGAAAAGAAAUUUAAGGGGCAACCACAUCUUUCAAAACACCAGUAGUCAGGAGAGCUAUACAACUUUGACAUUUAGUUCCAAAACUUUGUCUAGGACAGCAUGGAAAAGGAAGGAAAAUUAUACUUUGUUGAAUUUUAAACAAAGUAUAUAUAAACUACACCUCAAUAAAGCAAAGUGUACAUAGAUUAUGCCUCAGUCAACUUUAUUCUAAAAAUCUAAGCAAAAGAAAUAAAUCAUAAAAGUGGCAUGACUGUAUCUGGGCAGGUGGGAGAGGAUGCUGGGGAAAGCCAGUGCCCUUUGAAGUAAGCUGAAUAUCAAUUUUAAUUGGCGCCAUGCCAUUUGCCGAAGAACCUACAGGCCCUGUCCACAGCGUUCACAGUCAGUCUGAUAGACCAGAAGCCAGGGUUUGGGAAGACUGAGUCUCAUUGCGUCCUCUAUUCACUGAACAUUUGACAUCAUAGGAACAGAAUUUGAAAGAUGCUUGUGAGGCACUUUGGGAUACAAGCUGCAGAGAUGGUUGUAUUGAUCACUCACUUUCCUUUUAUAGAAAUAUAUUAAAAUCAUGUCCUACAUUCUUCACCCCACAGUUCACUUCCAGCACCUUCUUAUAUUCUUCUAGCUCAAUUGUGGUAAUCUUUAGGUAAAAAGAAAUACAGGCCUUCAUUAUCCUUCUUUCAGCCCUCCAAUAUUCCAGAGAGUGUAGAGAAACUAUUAUCACUCUAAUUUUAUAUUUUAAGUGCUACAACAGUCAAUCCAAAAAUCUCUGAAAAGCUGAGAGGUUUAGUGUUUACCUUUUUUCCCCAGCCUUUCAGCUGGAUUCUUUGAAGAGCCUCCAAAAAAUAUCUCUGAUCUGAAACCAAACCCAGAUGGAUAUUUUUCCUGGCCUGUUUUCAUCUGGUUAGCCACCUGUUUCUCUCUGUGGUAAUACAGGAAGGGGAGAUGAGAAAAUGGAAGAUGUUGGCUCAGAGCCCUAGAGGUCUGGUGAAGGUGGCUUUUAAAAUAAUCAUUCUUUAGUCACUGCCAGGCUCCAAUGCCACCUUCACUGAUUGGAAAUGCAAAGUAUGGCAGCAGUGUUUAUAAAAAAAUAAAUGGGGUGCCUGGGUGGCUCAGUCGUUAAGCGUCUGCCUUUGGCUCAGGUCAUGAUCCAGGGGUCCUGUGAUUGAGCCCCACAUCAGGCUCCCUGCUCCACGGAAGCCUGCUUCUCCCUCUCCCACUCCCCCUGCUUGUGUUCCCUCUCUCUCUGUUGAAAAAUAAAUAAAAUCUUUUAAAAAAUAAAAAAAAUAAAAAAAUAAAUGAAUAUCAGAGUGCAUACUAGAAUUUCAGAGGUGGAAGUCACUGCAGAAGCCAUUUAAUUUAAUGCCACAAUUCAUAAUCUAGACAACUGAAGUCCAGAGAAAUUCAAUUAGAUUCUAAAAUCAAUAUAUUUACAAUAAAUAGGUAAAGAAACAUUUGGUACACAACAAGACCCCAAAAGAAAGAUAGGUUUGAGCAAAUCAAACUCUUAGAAUUGCAAAAUAUAGUUAUUGAAGGAAUAAAUUAAUGGACUGGUUAAAAGCAGAAUAGACACAUUUGAAAAGAGAAUUAGGAAACUAGAAGGUGAAGCUGAGAAAAUUGCCAUAAUGCAGCAGAGUAGAGGAAAUGAAAAAUACAAAGAGGAGUUAAGGGAAAUGAAUGAUAGAAUGAAAAGUUUCAAUAUAUUAAUGGGAAUUCUAGAUGGAGAAAAAUUAAGGAAAUAAAUAAUAAGUAAACAUUUUCCAGAACUGGUCAAAGACAAGAAUCCUAAGAUUAAAGAAUCAAAAUGAACCCGAAGCAAGGAAUAUGAAAUCACACCUUCACUUAGACACAUUGUAACAAAACCCAGAAAAUUGGGGGAAAUAUUAAAAGCAACCCAAAAAAAGAAAAACAUUUUAGACUGGCCACAAAUUUCUCAAUUAUAACAACAAAGGCUAAAAAACAAUGGAAUAAUAUUUUCAAUUCCCAAGGACCAUAACUGACAGCCUAGAAUCCUAUACCCUGCUAAACAAUUAUUAAAGAGUUAGGACAAAAUAAAGACUUUCAGAAUAACACUUGAGACCUUUGUUGAACAGACUCUAUAUUUGUGUUUUAGGGCUGCCAUAACAAAAUACCACAGACUAGAUGGCUGAAACAGUAGAAACUUAUUUCUCCCAGUUCUGGAGGCUGAAGUCCCAGAUUGAGGUCUAGCAGGGUUCGGUUUCUGGUGAGAGCUCUCUUUCUAGCUUUCAGAUGUCCACCUUCUUGCUGAGUCCUCACAUGACCUUUCCCAUGAGCCUAUUCAGAGAGAGAGAGCAAGAGAUUGAGAGAGAGAGGGAAAGAAGGGUCUCUCUUCCUCUUCUGUUCUAAACAAAAGAUUCACAACAGCCAUAUUUUGGUUUGAAAAAGGAAAGAAAACUUUAUUAUUAUAGAAACCUAGUAGAAACAGAAGAAGAAAGGAAUCUACGCAUAGAUAAAGGUAAUAUCCAGCAAGAAAUGAGAAUAAGGCAAAAUUACAUCAAAUCGGGUACCUACAACAUCCAACCUCAUUAGCUGGGGCAGCCCCAUGGAAACAGCCAGGCUGGAGUCCUGAUUGAGAGGCCUGGGCAGAGCAUCCUCCCCUCAGGUGAGACUUCCAACUGAUCAUCCCCAUAAGGCCAUAUUUAUAUGGCAAAUAACAGGGUUUGAAAUUAAACCAUUUGUUCCUACGUGCAGUUUGGAGCAAGCUGUAUUUUCUAUGUUAUCAUGUUUCUAUAUUUUCAAGGAACCUGGGCUAUGUGUAUCUGCCUCCCCUCCUGGAUUCCAUUCCAGGGGCCCAACCCAGCCUGGAGCAGGAGGGGAUGGGAGACAAGAUUUGUAGCUCUCGGCAUCCAGAACAGAAGGGCCAGUUCUGACCUGGAGGCCAGAUCAUAUAUUUCAAACAACUAAGCUCCCAAGGUUAUUCACACAGCACAAGUCUCACAAACCACAUUCCUUAGCCUGCCUGUGUAUAUGCAGGUCCAGGUGGUCAGUUAUGCGGGACAAAUCACAAAAACAUCUAUCCCUACAGAACAUCUUCUAAUAAGGCCAUCAGUCCUAUUGGAUUAGGGCCCCACCAUUAUAACUUCAUUUAACCUUAAUUAUCUCCUAAAGACCUUAUCCCCACAUACAAUCACACUGGGGGUUGGGCUUCAGCAUAUCAAUUGUGGGGAGGACACAAUUCAGUCCAUAGCGGACUCCUAUAGGAUAAUUUCAGAAGGAAGGAAAUUAAAUACAAAAGUAAGGAAAAAAACAAAGGUGAGUAAAGAAAUUGGUAAACACAAAGGUAAAUCUAAAGAAAUACUGACUCUAGGGGCGCCUGGGUGGCUCAGUUGGUUAAGCGACUGCCUUCGGCUCAGGCCAUGAUCCUGGAGUCCCUGGAUCUAGUCCCACAUCGGGCUCCCUGCUCUGCAGGGAGUCUGCUUCGCCCUCUGACCCUAUCCCCCCUCAUGUGUUCUCUCUUUCUCAUUCUCUCUCUCUCAAAUAAAUAAAAUCUUUAAAAAAAAAAAAAAAAGAAAUACUGACUCUAAAAAUCAUUACUACUAAUAACAAUUAAUUUGGAGAGGAUUAAAAGUAGAUAUAAAUAACUAGCAUUGUCCAAUACUACUUUCUAUAAUGAUGGGAAUGUUCUAUAUCUGCUCUGUCCAAUAUGGUAGCCAUUAACCACAUGUGGCUAUGAAGCACUUAAAAUGUGGCUAUGCAACCAAGAAAAAAUUUAAUUAUAUUUAAUAUUAAUUUCAACUUAAGUACCUACAUGUGGGUAAUGGCUACCAUGUUAGACAGCACAGCAUUACAUAAUAGUAACAUGGUAAGUGGCUAGAGCAGAUCAAAGUUAAAUAGUCUAAGGUCUUUGUUUGGAAAGAGAAGGGACAUUUUGGAGGCAGUUAUAUUAAAGAUUUAAGGAUAGAAGCUAGAAAAAUUGAAAUAGAAUGUAUCAUUUCCAAAGUAGUAGAAGGAAAGAAGAAUAAAGAAAACACUGUUGAUACACAGAAGAUAGGAAAAAGAGAUGGAAAAAAGAAAUCAAAGAAAAGCAUGAUAAAUAGAAAGCAUAACAAAUACGAUAGAAAUAAAUAAGAAAUAUACCAGUUUCUUCUUACAAUGAGAGUACAGAAUUUUAAUGGAACCUCAUAUACCAAGGGCAUAUGGAGUAAAAAAAAAAAUCAGGUAGCAAAAGAUAUGUACAGUAUUAAACCUUUUAUGUAAAGUUUCAAAACAUAUAAACUAUUAGUAUUUAUUUUUAUUAACACAAAAAUAUGUCAAGUAUAACAAUAUGCAUGGGAAUGAAUGACACAACCCAACUUCAGGAGAGUGAUUUCUUCAGGAGGAGGGGCAAAGGAAAGGGAGUGGAUCUUUAGUUGAAUCUAAAUAUUUUUAAGAAAAGAUCUGAAGCAAAUAUGAUAGUGUCAACCUAUAAAAUGUGGGUGGUGAGUACCUGGGUUUCAGACUAUAUUGUUUGAAACUGAUAAUAGUUUUAAACUCUUAUUUUUUCAUAAAUAAAAACUCAAGUUCAAAAGAAACACAUCCAUCCAGAUACUUUCCUCUUUUCUCUGUAUUGGAUUGUUUCUCUCUGACUGGUUUAGAUCUUAGGACUCGAACUUGAUUUUUGUCACUUAGGAAACUUUAUCCACAAAAUAAUAAUCUAACAUAAUGAGCCCUCCUCACACCAGAGGACUAAGGAGCUAGAUAACCCAAUUCCACUGGAAAGUUCUGUUUACUUAGGACAGGGGUCAGCAACUUAUUAACAUUGUUUCUCUUAGUGGGAUGAGUGAGUACUCUUGGGAGCUAUUGGGUGCUGUGGGGAAGGAAGAAAGAAGAGAGAGAAGAAAAGGAAAAGAAUGGGGGAGGGAGUGGGGAAGGAGAAAGAGUUAUGGUAGAGGGCUACUGAUCCACUUUGCUCACAUGGGAGCCACCCCCCAUAUAUCCCUAUAGAAGAAAGCAGGAUGGGGGCACCUGGGUGGCUCAGUCAGGUUAAGUGUCUGACUUUGGUUCAGGUCAUGAUCUCAGGGUCCUACAGUCAAGUCCCAGGUUGAGCUCCCUGCUCAGGGGGGAGUCUGCUUCUCCCUCUCUCCACUCAUGCUCUCUCUCUGUCUCUCUCAAAUAAAUAAAUAAAAUCUUAAAAAGAAAAAGAAAAAGAAAGAAAGCAGGAUGGAAUGAUCUCACCUCAUUGCUUUGGCAUUUUUCUAUUAGCGCUCCUUUCGUUGUAUUGCAGUUACUGUUUACAUAGCUAUCUCCCCCACUGGACCAUGUCUUAUUCCACUUCUUACCUUGAGUGCUUAGCACAUGUCUGACAGAGUGGUCUUAAUGAAUGACUUAACGGUGAAUACACAACUUCAGAUCUUAAGUGAUUUCCUGUCUUCUUGUUUAAGCCUUCCAAGCCUUUCUCUUUUGCCUUACCGCCUUCCUGGGUCCUCUUUCAGACUCUCAGAAUUUAAAACCUUUAAACCUCUGUCCAGCUCUAAGCUGGGACACUCAAAACAACUUCUAGGUGGCCCACAGAGUGCUUUCUCAGGAAGACAAGGGAGAUAGACUGGGAGCAAUGUCUGGAAAUGGAGAUGUUCUGGGGGUGUCCCAGGAGUGCCACAGAGUCCUGAACCUGACUUUUUUCCUUUGUGGGAACCGUGACAGGGAGCCACAGUCAAGAGGAUAAAGGAGAGGGAUGUGGCAGUUCCUGACACCUAGUGUUCAUGUCCUUCCUCCCCUGUGUCCCAGGCGGAAGUGUGGGUCCCCCAACCACCUUCUCACUCCCAACCCUGGCUUCCCAAAGGCAGCCCUGGUCUUCAUGAUAACAGUCUCUUUUCAAGACAAAUCAGCUGUUCCUUACAGCUGUGGGUGGUACUAUCUUAACAGAGACAGCAGUCUGGCCGGCAAGAUAUUUCUGUCAUCUGUGCUGUGGGAAUAGGUCUGUUCUGCUUGGUUGCCAUCAAAGGGCUUUUCCUACAAAGAUGUUUGUGCAAACAGUCUAUUGGAGGGUAACUGGCCCUGCCUCAGGCCUGCUUGCUUAUUGGCCAGCCAGGGUCUUUCAGCAGCGAGCCAUUCAGAAGCCAGGGUGAAGCAGAGGCCAAUAAGAAGGCUGAAUGUAGCUCAGAUAAUUGCACACUGCAGUGAGACAGACAGUGGGCAGUGCAACCCUGGCUUAUUUAGAGGAAGCCUACUGUUUGCUUCAAGAGGGCCCAAGACAGUAGCUACAUACUUACCUUUCCCCUU